rnacentral:other from 1 species
CUCUCCCUGCUUGGUGCGUGAUGGGCUCAUUUAGACCCACAACAUUGAUCCGGGACGCUCUACUUCCCGCGUGAAUUGCAGGCCUCCCGUCCCCGGUCCGGCCGGGAACGGAAGUUGGAAGCAGCGAAGCGCGCGAGAGGCGACCCACCUGCCCGAAAGUGCAGGUUAUAACUGAGUUCACACGGCCAAAGCGGGGUUUCU